AUUAAAUAGUUAACUUGUUUAUAUGUAUUUUAUGCUUUUAUAAGGUUUAUAACAUGAUUAUUGCUGACUGAAGGAAUAUUGAAUACUUAAAGUCAAUAUGCUGACUGUGACAGACUAAGGUAUUUCUUCUAUAGGAUGUAAGACAAUGCUAAAAUUUCAGGAUGUCUUGCCCAUUCCGAUUUCAGGAUAUUAUUUUCCAGACGUAUGCAAAAAAGCUUAUCUUCCCAUUGUCAGAAUAACAUGUAAUAUAUAAGGAAGUAAUAAAUCGUAUAAUCUGUAUUGUAUUGCAUAUCUCAUGACUAAGGUAAACAAAACUGUAUAAAUGCUAGCUUCACAGUAAUACAGAUUGAGAACUUGUUAAGCACCUUCGUGUCUGUCUGUUAUUUGCUAAGCAAGUCUCUCCCGUCAAUUGAUGUGGUGAACAGAGGAUCGAGAACCGAGGGUUGAGUCCAGGACAGCAUUAACCCUUUCAGCUUGGUGUCUAGAAGUGGGAUAGAAGUUGGAUCAGCAAAAUCAUUGGGUAAGUAGCCUUUUUGUGUCUUAUUUGACGCUGAUUGUCUAUGACCCCUUUGGUUUAGUAAGACUGUAUCCAGUACAUAGGAAAGGUGUAAGGACUCUAGUUAUAUUGAGACUGUAAAUAGGUCUCCGGUUUAUUAGACAUUUGGUCUAAAUAUAUAGGGUUUUGGUAACCCAGGUUAGUAUCUAAGAUAGAUACAGGUUUUUGAGACCAUAAGAGGUCUCCGGUUUAUUAUAGGGUUUUGGUAACCCAGGUUAGUAUCUAAGAUAGAUACAGGGUAUCUCAGGUAGAUACAGGUUUUUGAGACCAUAAGAGGUCUCCGGUUUAUUAAGUCUAUAGGUGUUCUGAGCAGCACAGUUUGUAGAUCUAUAAGUAUAACCCAAACUUCUCUUUCUCCCGGUCACCUUUGUUUGUCUUAAGUGUUUUUUGUGGGUGAUUGUUUGUCUAUAUUGGGGACACACUUUGGUAAGUUAGUAGUGUCCCCACUCUGAAUCAGCAGUAUGGGAAAUGUGAGUUCAGGUCCUGAGUGACCAAUAUGUGUAUGUAUAUAUGUGUAUAUGUAUGUAUAUAUGUGUGUGUAUAUGUAUAUGUGUAUAUAUAAGAUAGCAGUACUUUUAAACAAAUGGAGGUUUUAAAAAUACAUAGGGAUUAAGGAAAGAACGCAGGUAAUUUGUUUUUCUUUGGUUUUUACCAUAUAUUGGGGCUGAUGUGUACUGUAGUCCUUGCUGCUGUCCAGUAGUGAUGGGAGUGAGCGCAGGACUUAUCUUUCUGCAAGAUAGCAGUACUGUAUAUUAGAAAAGAAAUGACUCACAGGUUGUACCUGAUAAACCUACUUAAAUCUUUUUGCUUUAUUCUUUCUGUCGCAUAGAAGUAUAAGUUUAUUACUCUGUUUUAUUGUAAGUUAUUUCACAUGGGAACUGUGUGCCUGGAAUGAUUGUUGCUUUAAAAAUACUAUAAGCCCACUACAUUUAUUAUGAGAGUGGGAUAGUGUAAAUGUGUUGCAUUGUUUGCAUGAUGAGCUCAGUAUAUUUUAUAACUGAGACAAAAAGUCACUUCAUUAGUAUUUGAAAGUUAAUUCCCCAUAUGGGAUUAAUUGUAUAGAAACACCAAUCAGCACAUCUUCCAUGCCCUGUGUGUUUGUUGCAAAGGAUCCAUACUGUAAAUAUGAUUUUAUUAAUGACACGGAGGCUCAUAUUAUGCUUUCUCUUUCUUUUAUUAUUCUCCUCAGCAGCAAGAAUUUAACUUGAAAGAGAAUAAAAACGAAAUAACAUAAGUAAUCUGCCUAGUAACAGGGCAGCCAAUCAUAUACACUUAUCAACAUUAAGUGUCUUGAACAGUCUUCUAACUUCCUCUUUCUUGCUGCUCCUCAGAUCAGAUAAGUGAUUUUUUUUUUUCUGUACUCUUUACUUUUUCAUUACACACAUAAUAUUUGUUUCUAUCACUUUAAAUGUUGUAAAUUUUAAUGUUUCAUGUUGUUCAUUUCUAUGUUGUCCCUGUUUCAGGGUCAGUAUUUUAGUGCUUAGCUCUGCUUAGGCUCAGACAUUUUCCCUCUCUCCCUGGCUUUCACUAACUGCCAGGGCUGAGAGGGGUCUGACAGGCUGUGAGACCGCACCGCCCGCGCGUCUGCGGUCUCACUAGUGCCCUCCCUCCCUCCCUUCUGUGUAAUUGCCGGCACCCGCUUAGACAUCCCAGCGGGUGCCGAGCAGCUCUAUCUCCCUCUUUUCCCCUGCCGGGUUUACUUCCGCCCGGCGGUCUGAGGCCGCGGGGAGCUCUCUCCUCGCGGCCAUUACUGGAGGGGGGGUGGAGCAAGUUCGCCUUCGGCGCGCUUCUCUUCUCUGAAGCGCGGGAAGGCUGAACGGCUCCUAGUUGCUCCUGCUGCCCUCCGUGGGCAAGGUUGUACGGUUUCUAUUUUCCCAUAUUUGCUUCUAAGGGUUAAUCAACCCUUUUUCUCACUACCCUUCUCUUUGUUUGUUUGUUUGUAUCCUGUAAGUUUUUUCUGCAGUUUAGUCUGUAACUGACUGUGUGCUGGGGGUUUGUUUCUGGGUUAAUUUAAUUUAAAGACAUCUCUCCCAAUAAAUAAAAAAAAAAAAAAAUAAAAAAUAAAAAAAAAAUAAAAAAUAAUAAUAAUAAUAAUAAAGGAAAACCCUGUGGGAUUUAUCCAGACCUGUUGCUCCCUGCCUAGCACACAUAUUCAGUCAUUCCCAUUCAGUCAUUUCCAUUGGUUGCACACCUAUUCAGUCAUUCCCAUUGGUGAAUUGGAUAAUACAAUGCAAAAUCACGGGGAUGGACAUGGGGGCCCUGGAUGCCCUAAUAUAGAGAAUACCUUACCCACCCCUGGCCUAGACCCGGGUCUUUUACCCUCUCAGGAAUUCCAGUCUCUCCUGGAAUCAACUAUGGCCGGUUCGGUCCAGCGAGCCUUGGCUUCAGCCAUGGGCUCGGUGUCCACCUCCCUAUCCCAUUCUCUGGCCCAGGCACUCAUGUUGCCCCCUGAAGUGCAACCUACUAUAACGGCCCAAACUGAUAUACCAGUCCCUGCGGCCCGCAAGGCAAAAGCCAAGACUAAGCAUACAUCAACGCUCCCACUGAUGCAGGUCUCCCCUGCCAUGACUGACCCGCCUAUGGCGGUCGUGUUGCCACGCACAAGAGCCACUGGUCGGGCGCAAGCGGCCAGAAAUUGGAAACGGGCACGUGCCCAAUACGAAGAGUCAGAUUCUGACAAUAGUGAGGAGAUGGGGUCAGACGACCCGGAUUAUAUUUACAAUGCUAUGGCUUCUGACUCAGAUGAGGAGUCUAGUCCUGUAGUGGAACCGACGGGUGUGGAGGAUGGUGUUCGGGACCCUCAAGGGUAUCCCCUGUUCGACCCGGACAACCUCCGCCACCCUCGCUCGGCGGAGUGGGACCCGCCAACGCACAUUGCGCAGUAUUUGGCGCUCCGUCUGCGUACCCCUCUCUCUAACGAGAGUAGGAAUAAACUCCGGGCAGAGUGUCCCAGACCCUCCGUACCAGACAUGGCCUGCAAAACCCCCAUGGUGGACCCACAUAUCGCCCAAUUCCUCUCAAAAUCUGGCUGGAAGCCCAAGAAGGGGCUGGAGUUCUCACUCCACAGCUGUCAAGACAAAAUACUAGACACCCUGGGGCCAACCACAAAAUUAUAUGAAUUACUCGAAUCCGCUAAAGCGGGAGAGUCCACCAUUGAUUUCGAUGUAGCCAUCGGAUGGGUCCAACGGCUUAUCUGCUUGUUGGGUAAUGCCAACACAGCCAUCUCGGCGGAACGCCGUAAAUCAAUCCUACUUAAGAUUGAACCUAAGUUGAUUAACUUGGCAAAUAGAGAACCUGGACCCACAGCCCAGGGAAUGUUAUUUGGAGAGUCCUUUGUCAAGGACAUCGGGGCUUUUGUCAAAACUUUUACUACUUUAGAUAAGGCUCAGGCCAACCUUAAGAAAGUGUUUAACCCCAAGGUUUUGCACGGGGCCGGGAGAUCUAGGAGCCGUCCACCCGGCCGAGUCUAUCGGGGCCCCUCCAGGGCCCAUAGAGGCUCCUUCGGAGCGCCCCGCACGUACCAGGAGUUCCGUCCGUCACCCUUCUUUCCGUCCAGGGGACGUCCAUGGCCUUCUCGGGGAAGCCGCAGGCAAUCUACUUACAGGCGACCUUACGGUAAGUGCAAUAUCUCUCAUUCCUCCACAUCUACACAUAGGGGGCAGGCUCGCGCUGUUUGCGCAUGCAUGGGACGAGCUCACAAAAGACGCUUGGGUGUUACAAACCGUCAGGGGUUUCUAUCUCGACCUUUUAUCUACCCCAUUCCAAAUCCAUGCCCCAAGAGAACUGACACUGGCCCCAGACCAAACCAAACUCAUAACAAAGGAGAUUACAGAUCUCCAUGCCAAACGGGCAAUCCAAGAGAUCCCAUACGAUACACCAGGUUUUACCAGCAACUUAUUUUUGGUAGCCAAAAAAGGCGGAGGUAUGUGGCCAGUCAUAAACUUAAAGGAACUCAAUGCGUUCCUCGCAUACCAACACUUCAAAAUGGAGGGCAUUCAUUGCCUCAGAGAUUUACUACAACAGGGAGAUUGGAUGGUCAAAUUGGACCUCAAGGACGCGUACCUCACCGUCCCUAUUGCGGAGGCACACUGGGACCUCUUGCAUUUCACAUGGCUAGGGCGACGUUGGAGAUUUACAUGUCUGCCCUUCGGUCUCUCAUCGGCCCCCUGGUGCUUCACAAAACUCAUGAAGCCUGUGGUAGCCUUUCUCAGAGCACGAGGAAUUCGUCUGAUCAUAUAUCUGGACGAUAUUUUAAUCAUGGCAUCCUCACAAGACCAAGUACUGCUCCACCUACAGUGGACCAUCACGUUACUCGAGACUCUGGGCUUUUUGAUAAAUUGGGAAAAAUCCAUAACCAAUCCGGCCCAAAAGAUAGAGUUCCUGGGAUUCCAGAUCGACGCAAUCUCACAAUUCUUACUCCUCCCGGAAACGAAAUUGAAGGCCAUCAAAAAAGAGAUCAGGCGCACAUUACGAGCUCAAUCUCUCUCUAUUCGACAACUAGCUCGAGUCUUAGGACUACUGGCUUCCUCGAUACAAGCCAUCUUCCCAGGGCCUCUACACUAUCGUGCCCUACAGCGGCUAAAAGGUUCUCACCUCAGGUCCGGCCGUUCAUACGAAUCCGCACUAGUCCUGGAUGUGGAAUCACGGGAGGAGCUGAGGUGGUGGCUAGACCAUAUGGAGGCGUGGAACGGCCGAGCAAUAUUUGGAACCAGCCCGGACCUGAUUAUAGAAUCGGAUGCAAGCCUCCAUGGCUGGGGCGCGCGUUGUGGCAACAUAUCCACCGGUGGCAGAUGGUCCAUGGAGGAAUCCACAAUGCACAUAAAUUGCCUGGAACUUCUGGCAGGAUCGUUCGCCGUCCGCAGUCUCUCCCCUACGGUAGGGAGAUGUUGUAUACUGCUCCGUAUGGACAACAUCUCGGCAGUCCGUUAUAUCAAUCAUCUAGGAGGCACCAAAUCCAAACGACUAGCAAACCUAGCGAAAGAAUUUUGGCAGUUUUGCCUUCAGAACGAGAUUGCGGUGACAGCGGAACACAUUCCGGGCUUGGACAACGUACAAGCGGACUGGAAUUCCAGAUAUCUGAGAGAUCCGGGAGACUGGCGCCUUCUCCGCUCUACCUUUUGCCAAAUAGACGAAUUGUGGGGACCACUGGAUGUAGACCUUUUUGCAUCCAGACUGAACAGUCAUCUGCCUCGAUACUUCAGCUGGCGACCAGAUCCAACAGCCUCGGGGACGGAUGCUUUCCUGCAGACGUGGCCGAAGUCUCGACAUUACGCAUUUCCCCCUUUCAAUCUCAUUUCCAGGACACUAUCAUACCUAUGCACACAGGACUGUUCACUAGUGAUAGUGGUUCCACUAUGGCAUGCUCAGCCGUGGUUUCCUCGUCUACUAGAAAUGGCAAUCGACUCUCCACGAGUAAUACCAUCAACACCAGACUUGCUAUUGGAUCCAGAGGGGAAUCCGCACAACCUGAUCAAUCAGGGCUUGCUGCAACUCACGGUCUGGUUGAUUUCCGGAGUCCCUGGACGUUCACAGACAUUCCACAGACGGUUACAAGACUCAUGGAUAACUCCUGGGCUCCAGGGACCAGAGCAGCCUAUAACUCUGCUUGGCGAGUGUGGGCUAGCUGGUGCAUGGAACGGUCAGUGGAUCCAGUUUCAGCACCUCUGAAAGAAGUACUGGAGUUUUUGACGUCCCUUUUCGAAGAAGGAGGAGCGUAUCGUACCAUUAACGUGUACAGGUCGGCGAUCUCGGCAGGACACCGAAACCUGGAAGGCUCCCCGAUCGGUCAGCAUCCUUUCGUUUGUAGACUCCUGAAGGGGAUACGCUUUGAGAAACCUCCACAGACCCGCUAUUCUUCAUUCUGGGAUGUCAACAUUGUCUUACACUUCUUGGAAGAAUGGAGGCCAAAUGAGGAACUCUCCCUUAAACACCUGUCUUGGAAAUUGCUGACUCUGUUAUGCUUACUGUCCUGCAAGAGGAUAUCGGACGUGCGAGCCUUGGACUGGGACGCAUUAUCAUUCACCCCAGAGGGAGUGUCAUUCUCCAUAUCGAGACGAACUAAAGGCAAUACAAAAUCUAUCUCUUACCCGAGAUACCCGGGACAUCCCUCACUUUGUCCGGUCAGAUGCCUUCGGUCCUACCUGGAUCGUACUCAGAAGUUACGCUCACCUGCAUCAAGUCAAUUAUUUAUAUCCUUUCGAACCCCUUUUCUACCAGUGUCCACGCCCACGUUAGCUCGUUGGGUCAAGAACCUGUUAGCAUUAACAGGAAUUGACACUUCGAAAUUCUCUGCACAUUCGAGGCGCGAUGGCAUCCAAGGCGUCAACGAUUGGUUGUCGCCUCGAGGACAUAUUAAAGGCCGCUGAUUGGUCACAAGUAUCGACGUUCAGAGAAUUCUAUUUUCGGCCAAUUGAACAUAUCUCUCUUCAGGUAGUGGCCAAGCUUUGAACUAGCAUAAUAUGAGCCUCCGUGUCAUUAAUAAAAUUCCAAGAUUUUACUAGUAACAUGACGUAAAGUCAUGAUUUUAUUAAUGACACGGAGGCGAGUAUUAUCCCCACCCACCCACCCGGUGGGCAUGAGACAGUCUAUAAGGAGAGUCUUAAGACUCUCGCAAAGGUAAGUAACAAGGAAUUUCAAGGGCAUGUACACCAUCCUUUAUGUACACACAUAACUUGUUUUAUCAGUUGGUUAUAUCGAUUGUAAGGAACAUAAGGAAUAAGGAUAACAUACAGUUCCAAAGUUUGGAUUUUAUCAUACAUUCUCUUUGUUUCCACAGCGUAACGUACUGGACACAGACUGGGUGGAAUAUCGGAAGUUAUGGAAAGUUACGACGGCUUUUCGUCGACACAGACAAGAAAGAGGAAGUUAGAAGACUGUUCAAGACACUUAAUGUUGAUAAAUGUAUACGAUUGGCUGCCCUGUUACUAGGCAGAUUACUUAUGUUAUUUCGUUUUUAUUCUCUUUCAAGUUAAAUUCUUGCUGCUGAGGAGAAUAAUAAAAGAAAGAGAAAGCAUAAUACUCGCCUCCGUGUCAUUAAUAAAAUCAUGACUUUACGUCAUGUUACUAGUAAAAUCUUGGAAUUUUUGUUUGAAAAUAACAGAGCAACAUUUACAUUUUCAGCGGUCCAACACAUGCUUUAUUUUGCGCUGUAAACUAACCUUUUUAUUGCAACAGGUUCCUUUUAAGUGAUCCAGUGUAAUAACUACUGCUUGUGUCUUCUAUGUCUCACAUUAUGUUUUAUUUUAAAUUGUGGUAUAUAGCCUGAAUCAGACAUCAUGGACAAAGGUUUUUACCUGUGUUACUAAGGGCUCUUGGAGACUGACCGGUCUAAAGGUUUGCCAUGCCUUUAAAACAUGGUAUAGUAUAAAUUUUUAAGUCUCUGAGAGUUCUGAAAGAUUCAGGUGAAACCAUGUCUGUUUAAUCUGGUCCAGAUGUUUGUUCAAUUUCUGUAAGAUUUAAGUUGAUGCAGCAUCAUCUCAGAUUAGUUAAUGGUAGUUUUAUACAAAUAGUUGAGUUAUGAGCGCGCUAUAUAAAUGGAUCCUUUCUUUAAAUACAAUACUAUAGUAGAUUAAAGUAAUGAAGUUAAUUAAGAAAAUGUAUACAUAAGAAUCCCUAAAAUAAAUCUAAACUAAAAUUGGUAUACCUUCCAAUAAUAUGUUCUGAAUACAGCUGUUAACUGUUUGUUCUGUGUAAAUGGUGAUUGUGAUAAUGUGUGAAGUGUGCAGUUUAACUUGAAAGUGGUUUAAUUUAUAUGUUGCUGUAUUGUUUUAAAUUAUAUGUGAAUCAGUUUGUCACAGUCUAGUGAUACUGAUAAGAAUGACAGCCAAAUAACCUAGCAAAUAACUGUUUUAUUAGUUGUUGAAUACUAGCGUUUUGGCCAAGAAUAGUUGGAGAUUUGGAGGUGUUAGUUUAAGAUUGCUUUUAUAUUGUGUCUAUCCGUGUUUCCUAGGAGGGAGACAGAGUGUGUAGUUGUGUGCCCAUAAAUGUGAUUUCUGUAUUGGCAUAUCUGCUGGGUACCCAUUAUGUGUUUCUACAAAGAUAUUGUUUUGUGAGAUGACGUGUAAUAUUACAUGGGAUGCUGAGUAUGAGUUAUAUGGUUUGAAAUGAAUUGGUGAUUAUGAGCUUAGUACUUCAGUAAGAUGUGCUAAAAUUUGGAACAAGGUGGAAGCUGAAAUGUUGGGAUUAUGGAAGAAUAGGUAGUCUAUAUUCACUGCUUUGGCAUAUAAGCAAGAUGCAAAGGAAGAGAUUGGUAAUAUGAUUUUUGUAAAGAAAUUUUACAAGUGUUGGAAGGAUGAGGCAGGUUUGAUGUCUGGAGAUGAUAUAGAUAUCUUUAAAAUACAGUCAUGCCUUGGUAAUAUGUUGCCACAGUAUUCUUUGCUUGUGAAACAAUUGAUUUCAGACUGGGCCAAUUUGGAUAGCUCAGAUUUUCUUACCAAGGUUAUAGAAAAGGAAAAUGCAGGUUGUUUUGAAUUAAGAAAAGAUUUAGGAAAGUAAGGUUGCUUAUUAUGCUCAGGGAUUGCAACAUAUUAUGUCCAGCUACACAGGCUGAGAGCGAGGAUGGGAUGGAGCACAUAAAGCCCGCGGAAGGGGUGGUCAAAGAGGGGCAAGGGGAUGGAGACAGGGAAAUCAGGGUUAUAGGGGCAGGGGUAACCAAGGAGGAAUAGUCAGGAACACUUGUUUCAACUGUGGCCAAUAUGGCCACUGGAGGAAUGAGUGUCCACACCCCAGGAAACCCCAGGAAACCCUACACACCCCAACAACCCCACCUUUCUCAAAAUAUGCCCGGUAGGCAAGAACAACACCAGACCCACUCCCAACACCACUGGCCAGCAUAUCGCUUAGUUCAGGACUUUAGAGCCCUGAAUAGUUUAAUUGUGCCCAUUUCACCCAUUGUCCCUGAUAUGACAUCCCUCGUUACAGCCAUUCCACAUGAUGCCACUUGCUUCACUGUCAUUGAUUUAAGUAAUGCAUUUUUUCUAUACCUAUUGAUCAAGAGACACAGCUACUUAUGGUUUUUAUUUUUUGAAGGCUGCCAGUUUACCUGGACACGCUUACCCAAGGCUAUGUGGAUUCCCCAGCUGUUUAUUCGUUGGUACUCCAACAUACUCUAAAAAAAAAAAAACAUGGACCACCGGUCAUGGUUCCGUCCUUUUUGCAAAAUGUUGAUGAUUUGUUGUUAUGUAGCCCUAGCUAUGAGGCAAGCACUGUGGAUACUGUCAGUUUGCUCAGACACUUAGCAACUGUAGGUCACAAGGUUGUUAAACACAAAAUGCAAUUGUGUAAAUCAAAGGUUGAAUACUUAGGUUUUGUUCUGGCUUUAGGCACCAGACAAUUGAGUCCAAAACGUAUUGAGGUCAUUCAGAGGAUUCCAACACCCACUACUCGGAAGGAGUUGCUCACCUUCCUCGGCAUGAUUAAUUACUGCCACCAAUGGAUCCCUGAAUGCUCCCAUUAUGACUCAAUCCUAAGGGAGGCUGUACGUUCUGACAGCCCUGAAAAUGUCUGCUGGUCACCAGACAUGCUAGCUGCAUAUAUUGCCCUUACAGUUGUUAUUGUGCAAGCCCAGGCUUUAGGACUACCUGUGUAUUGUAAACCAUUUCAUUUGUAUGCUUGGGACAAUUGUAAAACCAUGGCCGCGGUCUGUGCACAAGAGCAAGGAGGCGGUAUGCGUCCCAUAGCAUUCUUUUCCAAAGUAGUUCGAGCUCCGGUACAGGGUAUGCCGGCGUGUCUCAGAGCAUUGAUAGCAUGUGCAAUGGCUGUUGAAACUGCUACUACUAUCACACUAGGGCAUCCUACAAUACUUCAUGCCAGUCACCAGGUCACUCAGCUGACAAAUCUCACCACACAACACAUGACAGCCCAGCGCUUCAGUGGUUAUGAGAUUCUUUUUUUAAUACCCAGAAUCUGUUUUUGGAUUAAAUAAGGUUUAGAGAAAGAUCAGAAUGAUCUGUUCUCUAAAGAGGGGAGAAUAGGCAUACUUGAAGAAUAGGCAUACUUGAAGCAAGCUGAUUUAUUUUCAUCAGUCAGGCACAUAGCAAGCACCAUUCAAUUCUUCAUGAAUUCAUUUUAUAUUAGGAAUCUCAGGCAGCAUGUACAGUCUUUUGUAAGAUCGUGUGAACACUGCUCUUUUUACACACUUACAGAUUGAUUUUAUUCAUGUAUCCAAAAUUGGUAAGAAACAGCAAUACUUACUGGUCAUAGUUGAUCAGUUUAGUAGAUGGCAUGAUGCCUUUGUGACAUCUAGGGAAGAUGCUAGUGAAGAUUAUUGUUACUGAAAUUAUUCCCCGGUAUUGCUGCCCUCUGUAGAUUGGCUCUGAUAAUGGCCCGGUUUUUGCCAGUAGGGUUGCCCAGGAACUUGCUAAAUUCUUGCAAGUUACCUGGCAGUUUCAUAUACCCUAUCAUCCACAGAAUACAGGGGUAGUUGAAAGGAUGAAUAGGACUAUUAAGGAAAAGCCCAGAAUUUACCCAGGAACAUGGGUAAAUUGGACUAGAUAUCUACCAGCUAUUUUAGCUGAGAUAAGAGUGAUUCCUCACAAGGUGACUAAAUUAUCUCCAUUUGAGAUUUUGAUGGGAUGACCUUUUCCCACACCCUGGGCCAGGGAACUGCUUGUUAUAAUGUCUGGGGAUUUACAGCUAAUACAAGAACAAUAUGUACAGGAGUUGUUGAUAAAACCGAAUGGUAUGUAUGACAAUGUUUCUUCGCAGUUUUCCCUUACCUUCACAGGAACCUACUCAUUCAUACCAGCCCGGUGACAAGGUGUAUAUCCGUCAGCUGAACAGGACCAAGAAAGGAGGAUACCCUUUUGGACCACCUGCUACUGUGAUUGCUGUAACCAGAACCGCUGUCCUCACAGAUUCCCAUGACAUCUGGAUUCACGCAUCCCGAGUGAAGCUGUGUCCAAAGAGGGGAACCAAGGAAGACAACACCACUCCUCGCUCGGAAACAGAAGAAGUCCCCCUUAGCGAAGCAUCAUGGUUUUCACACCAUAUCGUAGAUUGAGAGGAUCAUACGAAUCUGAGACCAAGAUUAUGUUGUGUGCUAUGUUUUCUGGAGUAGUUAUACUCCCUUUGAUAUUGUUCCUUGAAUGCCAUUAUGAAUACGAGGCAAUGGCAAGUUUGAAACCUGUUUGUUUCUGGAAAGAAGACUCUGACAUGAUGAACAAUUCUUCAAUACCCCCAGCCCAAUUAGGCCUUAACCCCUCAUCUAGCAUUCGUCACACACGCUCCCUCAAGAACUUUUCUCCACCACCUUUUUAUCAGCAUGUAAUAUGCAAUCAUUCAUUCACUGAACGCAUUUGGAUGAAUUGGACAAAUAAUAACCCUUAUAAGUAUCAAUUACUCAUAUGGAAUGUGUCCACAGCUAAUGAAACCGAUGCAUUAUGUUUGUUUGAAGGUUCACGGAAAAUUGUUAGAUCUUAUAACACAGAAAUGUGCACAGUUAAGGUUGCUAAUUACACUGGUAUCUGUGCCACCUUAUUUAAUAUAAGUUCUGAUGGUAAGAGAAAACCAUCUAAACAGGUUUGGGAUAUAUAUUAUAAGAAAAUUAGUAAGGUUGCAUAUCAAUGUAAACAAACAGGCCUUAUUACUUUUAAUAAUGAUUAUACAACUGGUACCAUUAAUUGGAAAAAGGGACAAAUGUUAGUCAUUAUGAAUGACACUGCAAUUGAGAACUAUACACUACCUUAUAUUUUUACACCUUAUUACUGUCCUUUAUCCUCUAACAUAGAACCAAAAGUCAACAACGACACACACACACCUAUUCCAUCCACAUGUGUUAAUACAACUGCCUUCUUACAAGCUGUACAUGUGUCAUUAAAAGUCACUACUCUUGUUGUAACAUUAUGUAACACAGCAAACAAAAGGCAGAAAAGGGAAUGGUAUGACACACUGUUAGGAGGUGCUGGAACCACUAUGGGUAUACUAAAUAGUAUAGACAUGGAGACCCUCAAGAAUAAGUUAAACACAGCCAGUAUGCAUAUAGGGACUGGUUUUCAUGCUACUGCAAACUGGGCUCCAACUGUUGUUAAAUCACAGGUUACAGGAUUGGAUUUAGAUAAAUCAAUGUAUAAUUAUUUAGAUAAUUUAACUGUUGCAACUAUGAAAUUCACAACAGGUCUAAGUAAUUGGAGUACUUGUGCCAUCAGGUAUUUAUGGAUGCAACACCAAAGAUCGGCAUUAGAAGACAUACUAAUGAUUCCUAAAUUAGAGAAGAUUAGAGGAAUGCUUAACCUCACAGAUAAUGAAUGGUUACUUCUGAAACCCCAAUCCACUAAAUGCAAUGAAUGGUUAACUGGUACUGUAUCACAUUUUUCAUGCUCAUGCUAUUUUACAUUAUAUCAUACAACAUCAAAGGAUGUUAAAUUAGCUUGUCAAUUUAACACAUUACCAGUACCAGUUUAUGAUCUCUUUGCCAAGAAUUUAACCUGGUGGGCACCCACAUACACAGGGGACUAUAUUUUUCCCAAAGAUAACACACACAGGUAGCCACACAUAUCCUAAAAGGAGAACUCCUUAAGGUGAGUUCACAAAUUCAGAAUGAUUUAGCCCAUCAUUGGUACAAUGCUUUACUGGUUGGUCCCCUACUGGAUUCCAGAUAAUGAAAUCAUUCUUCUAUCAUUUUUUUAUUAUAGUCCUGAUUUUAUUGUGUAUGAUUUUAUAUAACUGUCACCUUAUUUGUACAUUGAGGAAGUGAGUACAGAAAUGAAUCCAUAAUGCAGAACAGAAACAAUUAGAAAUUCUCCUCUCUGCCACUGGAGGGUAUCAACCCAUCUUUAAACUGGGCCUUAGGAAUUACCACAUGGGAAUCGAGGUGAAGAAAUUAAUGAAAGUCCCGCAGGGAGUGACUAGCACCCCUGAAAAUACCAUGUGGAAGUUUCUCUGUCCUGGUAAGAUUUUAUCGAUAAGAUGAGCAAUUGUUUUAUUGCUCAAAGAGGGGAAUGUAAGAAUAUUAAAUAGUUAACUUGUUUAUAUGUAUUUUAUGCUUUUAUAAGGUUUAUAACAUGAUUAUUGCUGACUGAAGGAAUAUUGAAUACUUAAAGUCAAUAUGCUGACUGUGACAGACUAAGGUAUUUCUUCUAUAGGAUGUAAGACAAUGCUAAAUCUCAGGAUGUCUUGCCCAUUCCGAUUUUAAGGAUAUUCUUUUCCAGACGUAUGCAAAAGCUUAUCUUUCCAUUGUCAGAAUAACGUAAUAUAAGGAAGUAAUAAAUCUUAUAGUCUGUACUGUAAUGAAUGACAUAUACCAUGGCUAAUGUAAGCAAACUAUGUAUAAAAGCCAGCUCUGGAAUACACUCAUUUGAGAGUCUUGUAAAGCUGUUGUCCGUGUGUUAAUGCUUACAAUGAUCCUCCAUCAACGUUGAUUAUGGUGACCGAGGGAUCGAGAACCGAGGGGAUUAGAGUCCAUUACAACAUUAACCCUUUCAC
rnacentral:lncRNA from 1 species